AGUGAACGCUGGCGGUAGGCCUAACACAUGCAAGUCGAACGGCAGCACAGUAAGAGCUUGUUCUUACGGGUGGCGAGUGGCGGACGGGUGAGGAAUACAUCGGAAUCUACUUUUUCGUGGGGGGUAACGUAGGGAAACUUACGCUAAUACCGCAUACGACCUACGGGUGAAAGCAGGGGAUCUUCGGACCUUGCGCGAUUGAAUGAGCCGAUGUCGGAUUAGCUAGUUGGCGGGGUAAAGGCCCACCAAGGCGACGAUCCGUAGCUGGUCUGAGAGGAUGAUAAGCCACACUGGAACUGAGACACGGUCAAGACUCCUACGGGAGGCAGCAGUGGGGAAUAUUGGACAAUGGGCGCAAGCCUGAUCCAGCCAUACCGCGUGGGUGAAGAAGGCCUUCGGGUUGUAAAGACCUUUUGUUGGGAAAGAAAAGCAGCAGGUUAAUACCCCGCUGUUCUGACGGUACCCAAAGAAUAAGCACCGGCUAACUUCGUG
rnacentral:rRNA from 1 species